AUGUUCUAUCUUAUUCAGCCUGGCAACCGCCACGGCUGCUGUGUGCCGGGCGGUGCCCGGGCGGCUGGGAGGGCGCGGCGGGAGGCGGCUCCGCGGGAGGCGGCGGUGACUCAGGCCUGGCAGCCCGGUUCUGGCGGGCCCGGGCACCGCGGCGGGCGGGGGCGGGGGCGGGGCCGGGGCGACGCGGGCGCCAUGUUACAGAGGCGGGGAGGGGAGCACCGUCCUGCCUCGGCGCUCGUUGACUUUAUCCUGCUGGCGGCGCCUGGGUGCCCGCGCAGCGCAAGGACGGCGGGACCGGGCCCUGCGGCGGGAGGGCGUGGGGGGAGUCCGGGUACUGUGGCCGAGGGUGAGCGGCGCAGGAAGGCCGGGCGCGUCCGGGUUAGCCGUGGUGUGUGGUGCGUAUGCACGCACAGCGCAGUCAGUGCGUGGCCGCGCAUCCCGUACCGUCCGUGCCUGGGUCUUGCUUCCUUCUGUAUGGUCAUGUAUGGUAAUUUCGUGUUCUGCUUUGACCAGCUGGUUUUCAUCCAUGAGCUGAUCUGAACCUUCUGUAGGCAGGUUGUGCCAAGAGAUGCACAGGGCUGUGUGCCAUUUGUAAGCUGCUUGGCUUUGAGUCCAUGUCAUCUGGCAUUUUCCCUAAUGGCAAAGAAAACUAACAUUGUAAGUGAAGAGUCUGUUGCAAAGAUGAAGCUGAUUCCUUCCCUGUGUGAAGUUAUCAGCACUCCAGUUCUAAUACGGAAUCUUCAAGAAUUGAAGAAGGAUGUUUGUGAGAUUCACAGACAGGAGUACAGCCUGGAGUGUGCUUCCUGAAUUACCUAAUACUCCGUCGACAAUGCUAAAGAAGCAGUUUUAGCACAUUUGUUGUAAAGAAAUUUCAAGGUUCUUUCAUAUCUAUUCAUUAGUCUAAGGAAAUUACAUUGUCUCCUUUUUUUAAGUGAAUAGUUUAAGAUAUAGUCCUGUCUUUAUUUGUCCUUCCAUUUAAUUUUAACUGAAACAACAUUCAAAAGGAGGUUAUUUUUUUUAAGGUCAGAGUUUUUUUUCAUGUUAUCUUUUAGAUAAUAUAUCUUUCCUACUGUCAGGAAACUUUGAGGCCCAAAAAAGUGAUGAUACUGCCAAUAGUGUCCUGGUAAUGAUAUAUGUAUUUAAAGCAGAAUUUAUUUGACUCAACAUUGGUGAUUACUAUGUAGGUGUCCACAACACGGCAAGUUCCCCAUGAUUAUUUUAUAGUCUGUGGAGGGCUUGUUACUAUGUCAAUGGAGCCUAGGAUGCAAUUCAGGCCUUCAAAAACAGAGAGGUGAACUGCAGCUAAACCCCACUGAGUACAGAGGGAGAUGAAUCAGCUACCUUAGAUAGAAAUACCUAAAAUUAGAUGGGAUAAAUAGCACUUCUAAUCUGAAGAUGAGAUUUAGGUUGAGUUGAACCAAAGAUGACUGUAAGGAAAGCAAGUUUCAUUUCGUUUAGGUCUUUUUCCUGUAUGAUACUGAAAUGUGAAUUUUCAAAUCCCCCUGAAGGUCAAAUCAAGAUUGGUUCGCAAAUUUUUUUUUGUGAUUGUUUCACAAAAAUUUUCAGCAAGGUUUCAGUGUGUGGCUUUACAAACCUUUUAUUCCUUAAAUAAUAAUUAUUUGUAAUAAAGUUUAAAAAUUACCUGUAAAGGAAAGUAAA
ensembl:lncRNA